rnacentral:lncRNA from 1 species
CGGAACUUGGCUGUUUUGAAAACGCCUUCAAAUGAGGUGUGAUACCUCACGCAUUCCGGAGAGUUCAAAUAGUUGUAUCAUUGCGCCUUAGAAAUGCAACGGAAGAUUACCAUUAAAAUAACCGUCAUGCACGCUGGGCUUGUCCAUUUCCUUUGACAUUUUUGCAGUAGUUAAUGCAUAGCUGAAAGGCGCUCCAGUUAGAAUUGUAUUUAGCAAAUGAGUGGUUUUUAUACGAGGAUUAAAAAUAAACAAGUGGUAAAGAAUAAAACAAAAGAAUAGGAACUAUGUAUACUAACAAUAUUAUUAAUCAAUUAUUAACAAUGUAAAUUCAGAAGGGCAAAAAAGAAAUGUGUAACUAUAUAAAAUUUGUAUUAUUCACUAAAUACAUAGACUAACACCUGAGCGCUUUUCUAAUACGACAGUAUUAGAACUUCCCCGCUUGUUUAACUUGAAGGUCCCGCUGACUUUAUGCAAUACCUCAAUUCAAAUACUCAAUACUCCUUAGCAAGCACGAUACGUUAAUAGUAUUCAGAACAAUCCUAAUGAAUAAACACCUCAAAAUAAAUAAUAAGAAAACUAUCGGUAUAUAGAUUUCGGUCGUAUUCGAACCUUGCCGAAAAGUCUUUUACACGCCUCUGAGUUUUAGGUUACACAGAGAUAAUCUAAAAGUUUAUUUUUUAAUGUAAGAGCUUUUUGAGUUUUAUCAUCUUUAUUAAAUAAUCAAUAGAUAAGAGACAAGCCUCCACUAUCAGAGGCUUUUAAGUGUAGAAUUCAGGAAGAACUUCGUGUAUUCCAUUCGGUAGGCAUAUGUCGAAAGAGUGGCGCUGCUUGUACAGACAGCACGAUUGACCAAGGUUCCGCGUAAACAUCCAUACACAAUGAAAAAUGUAUGAAAUUGCAUUGUUCGGUUGUGGUGGAUGUGCCUGGUUGCACUUCAUUCAUAGUUUUAAAGAUAAUUUCAUUUUCAUCCCAAAAAAUGGAUUCUUUCCUGACAUCCAUGAUAAAAAACGUGGCCGUGCGUUUGUUAGUGGAAUUAUUUCUUGCUGCCAGCGCAGAAAAAGUGAAACUUAGCGAAAUGUCAAGAAUCAUGAUAGAAAUGGAGUUAAGGAAACACGGCAUCAUUCCUGACGUGGUAGGAGACAUGGAAUCACCCAAUCAUUUAAUAAAGAUUACUUACACAAUUCCUAAUAAGAACGAAACUAGGUUUGUAAGGUUGGAAACGACCUACAGCCUACAGAUUUAUCAAACUGCCCCACAAAUAUCGAAUGGCCGGGUUACUUUGAAGAUGAUUAUACGCUUAUGAUGGUAGAUCCAGACUCUCCGACUCGAUUGAACUCAUCUCAGCGUGAAAAAAUUCACUGGCUGAUAGUGAAUAAUCCUGGACAGGUUGUUCGGAGGAAAGACACCCUUUUCGACUACAUUGGUCCGCAGCCGUCAAAGGAACAGGUAAGGCCUUUAAGCCACACCUUAUCUAACUAAGGUCUUCUUCCUUGUAAGGAACGAAUCGAAAAAUAGUAUAAAGGGGCUACGAAGAAGAAGAGUCGUUGAAAAUCCAAACUUGGAUUGAGUCGCUAUUUUAGAAUUCAAGUUUAAGCUUCUAAAAGCCAGACUGAUAAAGCCUCAUUUUAAAUCCAUUUAUUUCAAUGGCUUUACUCUUAAUUUGAAUUUGCUGAUAAGGUGAAAAUUUUCUAAAACAUACUCUGGUAUUAAAUCCAAAGUAGACACUUGAGUAUAUUUGUAACUAAAAGAUGAGGUAAAUCUAAAUUAUUAAUAAGCAGGAGGAACACGAGAAGAAAAAAUCUCUUGUAGAAGCUGUCCCAUUUACCAUCGAUUUUCUUGGAUGAUUUAUUCCUGCACUCUGCUUGCUUAAAAAGAGAGAGAGGGGGGGGGAGGGAGGGAGAGUGAGAGGGAGAGGGGGGAUUGAGGGAGAGUGAGAGGGAGAGGGGGAGAGAGAGAGAGAGAGAAACAAAUCAAAAAGUCACAGACGCCCUCCUUAUUAGGGUAAUUUCACCCAAAAAGUUGGUAUUAUUCUUACAAGGGUCGCUUCAGAGUUUUCGGAAAGUCCUCGGAGAAUUCAGGAGAAACAACUUUUUCAUCAGAUUUUUUGAUUAGGAUGAGGGAUAGCCCGGUAGUUCCCUUAGAAAGCACUUUCGGGAAAAAUUUCUCCGGAGAAAAUAGUCUCAUUUUGAACCCGUAAAGACACUCCUGUAGUCCGGCGGUUUAAUCUUGAAUCACCCUGUAGAGUACUAAUUGUAGCCAGAAACAGAUUUUGGUAUUGUUAAUCAAGCGUCAACUAGAUCUCUUAGGCUUUGUGAAACUGCCAGAAAUACAGAAUUAUUGUAGCUAUACUACUUAUAUUAGCUAGAUAAUUUAGCACCCAUUACCAUUCUUGUUCACCUUUGCACUUAAAACCUGUAUGAUCAUAAUCCUAGGCGAAGUUGUUCAAUUCCAUCAGAGUUCUGGGCUCUCUAAAUACAUUCUAUCCCUUUCUUUACUACCUGUUUCUUUUCCUCACAAGAACGGCUUGGAUGAAAUUUUUCGUGUGUGUAUCGUUUCAGGAUACCACAGAUAUGUAUUCCUGGUUUACGCGCAACCUAGAGCGGACAUGACUUUUGAUGAGCCACGAUUAACGACAGAGUGAGUAAGCUACACAUAUAUUUACAGAGACUCAGGCACUAAAGGUCAUUGCAGAAUACAUGACUUGGACAUUGGCGAUUCCAGCAAGUUGGUAACACUGUUAAUAUUCCAUUCAAAUCCAUUGAAUACAUCGAUUCUAGUCGAGACAGGCUGCCUCACCUAGAGUCGUGUUUACAUACGUUUAAAUGGACAAAAAACAGUAUUGCCACUUGCAAAAUUCACCACUGAACUUGAACUUGGACACAGAGAAAAAUUGGAUUCAUUAUCACAAGAAACCUUUUAUCCUGACAAUAUCCCGUUCCUCUGAGGGAGGUCCGUUCUUAAAAUCAGAAGAUACCUAUUGCAUAAUACCCAUAUAUACCGAGCAUAUCGACGACGGUGAAAUUUCCAAACCCCGUAUUCGUUUGCGGUGCGCUGAAAAAUCUCCCCUCCAAUUUUAUUUGUUUUAAAGAGAACAAAUCAACAUCAGUCCUUGAAGUUUCUCAGGAUUUGCUUCGCACCAAGAAGAAAAAUAACGGAAAUUUUUGGUGAUGUUGAGUUAAGUUGUUUGUUUAAUAAAUUAAGUAUGCCAGGAAGUCUACAACAUCACCAACCGAGAUAUGUCUUAGGAGUUUCAAACCGAAAUGCGAUCAAAUACUUUUGCUGGUUUAUUACCAAUUAACUAAUUCAAGAUUGAAAAUGUAAAUUUCCGAUUCUAGAGCAAAAUCUGGAAAUACUUUAUAUUCAUGGAAAGAAGUGCUUUAUUUUUAAAACGAAUUCAUAAUAGCGAAAAUAUCACGCCGUUCUCUCAUCGAUGGUACUCAGUUAGAUUUUUCAAUGUAUGUACUUUCACCCAUAUUGACCGAUAUUUUUGUGUGAGUAAUAUAAUGCGCUGAAGUCCGGAAAUCGGCUUCAUAACACAAAAAUAAGGACGGCAUUUUGUAUACGAAGUGAAUUCUAUGAUAUUCAACCAAAUUUUCAAUGUGAAAAGGUCAUUUAUGCUUAAUGUCAUCCAAUGAUCAAUAUUGUAUCGAUAUUUUUUCAGCUUAGAGGACGUCAGGAGAAUAAUUUCGUGCUGUGAAUUUGCGAAGAAGUACAACUUUAGCAAGCGUGCAGAUUAAUUUCUUCUACGCUCGGACCUUGGAGGUAUAUCGAAUCACUUUUGGUUCGCCGGACUUGGCUGGAGAUAAGAAGGUUUCCGUCGAAACUUUAAAUUGCACGUUCUGAGAUAUUUGGAAAUUCAUCUUAACAGUUAGCAAUUCCUUAGAGUUUGUUGAAAAACAACUUAAAUUUGUUUGUCUAUCAUACCUGUGGCACUAACGCUUGCAACGAAUUUUUGAAUUACAUUUGAUUUCGUUUUCAAUGAAUGUACAAAUUGAAUUGAUCAGAAAAAUAAAGUUUCGAAACUAAAAUCAAUGGUUUUAUCAGAGUCUCGAUCGAAUUAUCAACUAAUGAGAACACGCUUGUAUUACCAAGCUUACGUACGUAGGGCGGUAAGACAUGCGUUUUUAAAGUGAAAAACUUUAAGUUGAUAGCGUGGACCAUCAAAUUGUCUAUUAAAAUAGCACAAUCCCAAAAAAAUCGCUAAAUAUACAUAUUGUUUAAAAACGGUUUUCAUAAUAAAUGAUGUAAAUAAGUGCGCUACAUGCCGCUUCGCCUUUACAUUUUUUACAACACAAUUUUUAGUACAAUUAAUCUACAUCGUAAAAUAUGAAUUAUUUCUUGCGAUGCAUGAUGCAAAAUGUAGCUGCUUGUUUCUUUGUAGAGCUAAUGUGCAAUUUUGCCAUUGGAGAUAAAAUUGAGGAUCUAUCAGCUACCGUGAUAGCGACGGAGUUAAGAAACAGGGCAUCAUUCCCGACGUCAUAAAGAAAAGGACUCCCCCAAUCAUGUGAUGAAGGUAAAACAUUUCCUAAUUAAAUGGUCCCUAAGUUGGAAGGUGGACCUGGACCUAUGUAAGAUCGAAUGCAAAAUCAGCGUUUUGUCUUUAUAGACAGUCAUUCCCACGUCAAUUUGUCUCCUUUCUCUCCAUUUUUUAAGAGGUCAAAUGUGCGCAAAAGUAAAACGCAGCAGCUUUUGAAUUGUAUGAGCUGUCGGGAAAUGGACAGAUUCUGUAUUAGUUUUCAGUUUUGCCUUUUGCAUUACCUGCGGAAAUGUUCAAUGUUUCGCACCAUAGAAAGGUGACAUUAAUCCACAAAAAGCCAAAUUGAGUCACAUAAUACUAUACCAAAGCAGAGAGUAGUAUUUCACAAGAGAAUAUUGUGGGAUUAAAGAACCGCAGAGCCAAAGCUGUGUCGAUUUUCAAUCAACUUGGCUCGGGCUGCGAAAUCGCCAAAUUGCGCUGCAAGUUUGCUUCCUUAAUGGGAACAUAAAUGAACUGAAUCGCUCGCCAAUUAUUCUUCAGAAUACUAAAGAGCAUUUUUCAUCGAAAUCUCAAAACCCGAUUUUUCCUAGACUGAAAAUUUUCUUUCCGUUGACCAUUGGACUAAAGUCAUUUUCUGCAUUGUCAGUCACGUAUAUUGAACAUUAUCUCCAAGGCCACGGAAUUUGUCAAAUAUUAUUCAAUUGAUGGGGAAAAGCUAGUUUCUUCAACCCAUGUAAGUCAUAAAACUUUCAGAGGCUUUUGGUCAGGAUUCUUUUACAGGCGUAAUGCUUUCAUGGGUUAGGGGGGGGGAGGAUAAAAUCUAAUUUAAACAAUUUUCACAAUUUGAGUAUAUACUAGAGUUUUUAAAAAAAAUUGAUUUACUGGUUUCUGUUGCGUGGUAUAGCGUUUGUUUGAGCAUUCGUGUUUCAUAUUCUUUAGAUUUGGACGCUCCAUCUCGAUUAAACCCAUCUCAGCGGGAGAAAAUUCAUUGGCUGAUAGUAAACAUACCUGGGAAUGUCGUGUACGCUAAAGACACUCUUUUCGACUAUAUUGGACCUCGGCCGACGCAAGGCACAG